AUGCUGCAUUAUGGCAUGAUCUCCACCCGAGUCGGUCACUCCACAAAUGCCAUCACCGGAGUACUGGAGAAUGAACCAGCAAGUGCUACGGGUCAUUCCAGAUCCACUUCACCAGUGAGCCAAGCAUCAGAAUAUUCAGAGUGGAUACUGACUGACCAAUGGGACUGCACUUCUGAAAAGCUGAGAGAGGAGAAUGCAGCAUUGCAAAGGCAAGUGAAACAGCUGCCAGAGCUUACAGCCAUGUUAGAGGAGAUGAAGAGGGAGAACGCAGCCUUGCAACGACAAUCCAGCCAGCUCCCUGAGAUCAUUUCAGCAUUCCAAGAGAUGCGUCAACAGAAUGCUGCAUUAUGGCAUGAGCUUCAAAGCUUGAAAUCGAAGCAGAGAUCUCCACCCGAGUCGGUCACUCCACAAAUGCCAUCACCACACUCUCACUCUCCAGCAGUUAACUUUCAGACUCCACAGCCAUACCGCCCAAUCCCAGCUCCACGCUCCAGGUUGCCACCAUCUGCCACUAAGAGACUGCCACACCCAGCUGUGCCAGAGGAAAGCUCAGAGCUGACUGAAGAUCUGAGAAACAUGAACAUUUCUUCCUCCCCUCAUGAGAGACCCACCUUUACAGCACAUUAUAGUGACUCAGCUCAGUUCAGGUAUCCCAACACUUCCCCAUAUUCCCAGCCACCUCAGCUGCCUGAGUCCGUGGUCUCAUCACAGGAAAGGAGGAGGCCAGCCCAUGCAGAAUACAGCUCAGAUCAUUUCUUACCCUCAUCUACCCAAGAGAAAAUCUACAGAGGUCCAGCCCCUACCAUCCCCUGCCUAACGUCUUCUGACCCUAGGGAGUUUUCAAGACUGAGAAUUGCUUUAGAGAACAUCCUGCCUAGCGGUACACCCACCCUUUGCAAGUCUCUAUUCCCACUUUGCUGGACUUCGCUGAUUGGUUGGAAUAUGAGCUUCAAGUACAGGAAGACAAUAGCCAGUACACUUGUUAUACAAGGCAGGAAUCUUCAGUGCGUGGCAGAGAGGUGA
rnacentral:lncRNA from 1 species